CAGUGACUGAGUUUGAGCUCAAAUAAAUGCCGUGAUGUCUGCAGCCCUUUGCAGAAGGCAGCAGGCAUUAAAGCUUCCACAAUGGGCUCCUGUAUGUGUUGGGCUUCACAACAAGCACCGUUUUGCACAGGGCUCUGCUGACUGAAGUGAUCCCGGCGGGCCGAGCGCGGCUGAGGAAGGAGCGGCAGCCUGGCGGGGAAGAUGGGAUCGCGGCGGGGAAGAGCUCCACUGAUGCUGCACACACUCAAACGCAAACACACUCCAGCGCUCACACAAUGUGUCCCUCUCAGUCGUGGCUUGUGACCGGUCCACGGCAUUGGCCAGAAGACCCGUUGAUGAGCGUGAAAUGAGUCUGGAGCUCAUUGACAGUUCAAGAUGGAGAGCAAACUGAGAUUAGACCGGGUUAAUUAAUUGAGGCCUUGGCAAAAUGUCUUCCCAUCCCGCGGAAGACUUGCUCUGUUUAUUAUCUUCCUGCCAAUCACUGCCUAAAUGACAUUUUCAAACUUUAAUCAGUGUUUUCCAUACAUUCAUUUACUCUUGGCGGCCAUAUUAGUUUUUCCACAGAGUUUGGUGACUAUUUCUCUAGGUAAAAAUGCAUCUUUUUUAUUUUAUGUCAAUUUUGUUCCGUUGAAACUGUAUUUUUUAAACAUUUGUACAAGUUCAAAAUGAUCGCAAUGCUAAUUUACAUUAGCCUGUCAAUAGGAUUGUCCAUUAUACGUUAGCAAAAAGCUAACAGCAUACAAUUCAGGCUUUAUCCUGUAUAGCAUGGGUGUCAAACUCUAGCCCGCGGGCCAUGUUUGGCCCGCCGUGUAAUUUCAUUUGGCCCUUGAGGCAAUAUCAAAUUAAACAUUAGAGCAGGCCUGCCAGUAUUAUACAGCGGUGAUGCCGCUCUAACACCACUAAUCCUCAUGCUUGCCAACCCUACCGGAACUCCCGAAGUUCAGUGCCCCUCCCGAAAAUCUCCCGGGGGAACCAUUCUCCCAAAUUUCUACCGAUUUCCACCCGAACAACAACCUUGCAUCACGUCCGCUUUUCCUACAUAUAAACAUUGUGCCGUCUUUGUCACACAAAAUAAGCAGAUUUUACACACACAUAAGUUAAUGCAAGGCAUGCUUGAUCAGGUCACACUUAGGGGGGAUGAAUAAACAACUUUAACGCUUUUACAAAUAUGCGCCACACCGUGAACCCACACGAAACAAGAAUGACAAACACAUUUCGGGAGAACAUCCGCACCGUAACACAGCAUAAACAAAACAGAAGAAAUACGCAGAAUCCCUUGCAGCACUAACACCUCUGGGACGCUACUAUAUAUAACUUGAUAUGCCAUUGAUAUUUUUUGAUUAUAAUUAUUGUUUAUUUGAAACUCUAUUUUGCAUGUCACUAUAAAAUUAUAUAAGCCUUGCUUGUUCAAUAUUCAAUGCAAAACUAGUUUGGGUCCCUAUUAAAAGGUUAAUGUGUUCAAUAUUGGCCCGCGGCUCAGUUCAGUUUAAAAUUUUGGCCCACUCAUUAUUUGAGUUUGACACCCCUGCUGUAUAGUAUAGUUUAACUGUGUUGAUGAUACUAACCUGUAUUGUUAAUUCAACAUGCUUCCUAUACAAUGUUGGGACCAACAUGUUACUUUGUAACGCGUUACUGUAACACCGUUAUUUCCGGCAGUAACUAGUAGUCUAACGCAUAAUUUUUUAUAUUCAGUAACUCAGUUACCGUUACUACAUGAUGCAUUACUGCGUUAUUUUACGUUAUUUACAACUUACAAAUAAAAAUGAUUCUUCUGAUUCUUCUUCUUCUGAUUUUUUAUAUAGUAUCGGCUAGAAAUUGAGAAGAUCUGAGUGUUUUAUCGGAGAGCUGCGGUGUCCUCCUUCUGAUUCUUCCAGUGUCACAAGAGGCGCGCUGUGUGUGUGUGUGUGUGUGUGGGCGGGGUUACGUGUCUGUGUUUACUAACAAGACAUCAUUGCGGAGCCGUAGCCGAGUUUCUUAACAUGGAGAUACUCUCACUACUUUUCUUUUGACGAGCACAAAGAAACGAAUAUUUUAGUUAAAUGUAAGUUGUUUCUUGGGUCAAAGAUCCUAUCUACUGCCCAAAACAGCAAUUAAAAUCUGCUGAAACAGCUACAAAAGCAAAAUGCUUCGAUGAAGCUAGUAAAGAGAGACACUGACUCCGAUACCAAUUCACCUCCACCACCACCUGAGGAUUUUAACAGAGGGACUGCUACCCAGGACAACAUUGAUAGAGCCAUUGCAGUGUAUGUGGUAGAAGACAUGCUGGCUAUUUCUAUUCAGGCAGCUGAUUAGCAUGAUAUCGGGCAUCAAACAUCAAAUGGCACGGAGAACUUGUUCCACGUAUCUGGACAGCGAGUACAUAAACAUGGAAAGCAAGCCAAAGAAGACACUCUGCUCAUCAUUCAGCACUGAAUGCACGCACACUCUGUCAAUUCUCUUAUAUAAUAUUUUAUUCUAGAAUUCUAGAGUGUUUGAUUAUCACCACUCUAUAGACUAUAAAGUUCACAAACAUAAAGAGGGAUCAUAGUGGGCCAGGCCAAUCUUUCCUUUUCUCUAAACUAAAACUGGGGAAAUGUGUAGAGUGUUCUGGGCUUCAGUACAGUGUUGAUCUCCUGAAGACAUGAUUUUAUUUCACAAUUCCUUGAGAGAAAAACACGCCCGGUUAGGCGUGUGUAUCAGUAUGUGUGCUGUGUAUGGUGACAUGACAUAUACAUGUCAUGUGUGCCUUCCUUGGGUGAAGCCAGGUUUACAGCUAUGUUGUGACAUGUUGCUAUGCAGUUUGUUACUUAUGUAUGUCAUGUUGCAGCUAUUUAAAUUAGUUUUGUCAAUUUGUUCCGGCCCAAAAUAAA